AGUCGACUUAGUAGAGGGUGCUUUCAAGAAAGCAAUUGAAACACCAAGAGAAGAUACAUUAAUGAAGAAAAACAAAGAACCACAACAGAAUAUGGAGAUUCCAGCAUUUAUUACUCAGUAUAGUAAUCAGUCUUUUAAAUUGAGCAAGAUCCUCAAGAAACACUGGAACAUGCUUAAAGGUGACCCUCUACUAGACCAGAUCCUGAGAAAAUAAAACAGUCCGGAUCAACAUUAAUGGGAUUUCAUAAAUGUGGGAAAUGCAUGGGAUGCAAAAACAAUACAA